rnacentral:rRNA from 1 species
AGAACGAACGCUGGUGGCAUGCCUAACACAUGCAAGUCGAACGAGACCUUCGGGUCUAGUGGCGCACGGGUGCGUAACACGUGGGAAUCUGCCCUUGGGUUCGGAAUAACAGUUGGAAACGACUGCUAAUACCGGAUGAUGACGUAAGUCCAAAGAUUUAUCGCCCAAGGAUGAGCCCGCGUCGGAUUAGCUAGUUGGUGGGUAAAGGCCUACCAAGGCGACGAUCCGUAGCU